AUAGCUGCUACGUGGCACAAUUCCAGCGAACUUUUAUUAACGAGAAACGAUUUCACUUCUUUUAGUUUAACAUGAAGAAUGCAGCAGUUUACUUCGAUCUUACCUAGAUUGCUUUUAAUGUUCAUGAUCAAGACAUGGAAGGCAACGGCUUUUGGAUUGUACGGUUACGUGAAUUUCACCAGAAAUGGCUUCUUGGAAUGUGCCAAACACUUCAAACAAGAAGAUAUGGAAAAACGUAUAGAUGGGAAAAAUUGCAUGGUUACAGGAGCAAAUUCUAGAAUUGGUUAUGCAACUGCAAGGGUCUUGCUUCAUGGGAGGUGACUGUCUAUAUGGUAUGCCAUAACAGGGAGAGAGGAUGAGCUGCUCUUUCUUCAAUUCAGUCUAAGACUGGGAAUCCAGAUAUUCAUCUAGAGGUGUGUGAUCUUUCUUCUAUCAAUGACAUCAAGUCUUUCACAUUCAGAUCUUCUUCAAAGGAUAUGCCAGUUCAUGUUCUGGUUAAUAAUGCUGGCUUAUUGGAGCAAAAAUCUGGUGAUCACAGUUUCUUCUGGUGAAAUGUAUUCAGCUCCCAUGACUACAGAUCUACAGGCGCCUGUUUUUUGAACUUAGGGGUUGCAUCAAUCAAAUCACUGAUACUGAAUUUUGAAUAUUUGUUUUCAAGCAGUUUAACAAUGGCAAAAUUGAAAGGGUGGAACAAUAUGCUCGAAACAAGCGAGUUCAGGUGGCACUGACAAAAAUGUGGUCUGAAACGUACAAGGAGAAAGGCAUUGGUUUCUACUCGGUGCACCCCAGUUGGGCUUGAGAUACCCGGAGUGGCGAAGAGUUUGCCUAUCUUUAUCUAGAACUUUCAUUUAUUUUUAUCUAGAACUUUCAUUUAUUUUUAUCUAGAACUCUUUGUUAAGAUUGUUUAUACACUUCAGGUUUGCAGGCAAGCUUAAAACAAGUGAGGAAGUUGCAGACAUUGUUGUCUGGCUGGCUUUACAGCCAAGAGAGAAACUGGUACCUGCUGCAUUUUAUUUUGACUGAGCUGAAGCACCUAAACACCUGACGUUUAAUUAUAACCAUCUUCAUCUUCUACACCAGAGUUUCCAGAGUCAUUUGAGUUCUUUUGUCAGACUUGAAUAAUGUAGAAUGUUAACGUGUGCCAUGUAACAGAUUACAAUUUCAUUGCUGCAAAUUUUGCAUAAACAGAUAUAUGAGCAGGCUUGAUGC